ACUCAUUUAGCUUAAUUGGAUAAAGCAAUGAUCUUCUAAAUCAUAGAUUAAAAGUUCAAAUCUUUUAAUGAGUA
rnacentral:tRNA from 1 species